CCUUCUUUGCCUGCCCCAUACUCUGAGUCUCGGCUCUUCAUUUUUUAUGAAGCUUUCCUCGAACAGAGUGCAUCCGCUGCCCCAGAAUGAGUAUUCAGAUUCCUUCACUUCUUUCUGUGUGUGUAUAUUGAGGAAAUGUGUGGACAUGUCUGUGCAGCGAUUUGGGAACAAACAUGCAAUCCAGUUGCACCAUUCUAAAAAGGUAAACACAAGACAAGAAAUUCUCUGCAGUCAUUGUAAGGAAGAACCAAAUUCUCUCUCACCCUGGGCACUUUCUGACCAACAACCAGCUCCAACCAUUCCUUCUCAUGUUAACAUUCUCUUGCAAUGCAAAUAGACCUUUCCCAAUCUCCUGACUUCACCCUGCUACUAUCUAGUUAGUGAUCGUCAUAUUCUCCCAUAUCACUGCACUUCAGUGCAAGGGAAAACUCUAAAUAACAUUUUUUGGACACUGACUCAAAGACUCAAUUACUCCUAUGGCAGAGAAGUUUUGCUGGAACUCAGAACUGCCCUGUUCCUUAGUAUCCAGAAUCCCAUGGCCUGGCAUCUACCACUCUGGCUAUGUCCACACUGAAAUUAGAAACCAAUGGCUGGCCCAUGCCAGCUAACUCGGGCUCACGAGGCUCAGGAUAAGUGGCAGAUUAAUUGCAGCAUAGACAUAUGUGUUUGGGCUGCAGUCCAAGCCCUGAGACUCUCUCACUUUGCAUUGUCCUAGAGCCCAAGCUCCAGUGUCAACUCAAAUGUCCAAAAUGCAAUUAAACAACCCCUUAGCUCAAGACCCUCAAUCCUGAGUCACCUUGCAUAGGCCAUAGUCGCAGGUGCCUAAUUUCACUGUAGACAUAUCCUCUGAUCAUUUUGGGAUUCAGAGUCAGAUAUUUAUUUUGAACUACUUCUUCGGAUAGAUCAUGAUAACUCUGAUGUCCCAUGGAGUGAUACAAACACUUAUUUAGAUAAAGAGGCUUUGGUUGUUCCACUCCCCACAAUCAUUUUUCUUCUUUCUACAGACCUACCCAGGACUGAAAGGCUUUGAACUAUGGAUUUUAUUAAAAGUCAGAGAAAAGAAGGUGGGAUUUAAAGAGAUUGUAAUAGCAGAGGUGGAUUCAGCUCUGCAUUAACAGAGACUGUUAUGGGCAAACUGGAGAGAAGUGGAAUUGAAAAUUGUUCAGCUGCUAAUAAUAUUUGUAUUUAUUUUUCUUACCUUAGGACACUUUGUACAUUAUAUGACAGCUCUGAUGCUCACAUUCAGUCAUUGGCCCCAUAAAGUUUUGGCUGGUCAUGUAACCCAAUCCCCUCUACCUCUUCAGCUGAGCUUUCCACCAUCAGCCAUUGAACCAUCACUGGCAGCUGAAGAUCCUUAUUUUACCAAGACCAACCUCAUAUUUUGGACUGGGGCUUUCCUGAAUGACAACUGACCAUCAUCUUCCCCGCAGUGACUAUUCAGAGUCUCAGCCAUUCUUCUCUGAGUGUACCUCAAAAACAGUUCCCUUGAAGAAGAGAAGACACCAGUGAUAGAAUCCAGAACCUCAUCAAUGGUAAUCAGGAAACAACACAAACACUAUAACAGAAAAGUACUGCUCCCCAGAUCACAGGUAAGAAUAAGAUCAGUUUCAGAAAACUCUCUCCUUUUGUUCACAACCAACUCCUCUCUUCUACGUUAGCAAUAUAAGACUCAGCUUCCAUCACCCAGAGAACAUCCCCCCUCCACAUCUUCCCUACACAUUUUCCCCAGUCCCAAUGAUGCUCAUAUGAACUUACUUGAUAUUCUGAAGGAUUUGUCAAUAUCUCCUGUGAUUGCUGAAAAAAUGAGUUUUUGUAAGCUCUCACAAGAGCAUGUGGAAAACUAAACUGGAAAUGUUGAGGUGCUUUUUUAGGUUCCAUGUUUGUCCAAAAUGGAAUAUUCAUCAAGCUGGAAAGAAUAUCUGGAAAUGCCAUCUGGUUCCAGCCUCAUCUCCAGGAAACAACUCCUAGGUGACAUCAUAUUUGGCAAAUUAUCCAUGGGGAACAUCUCCUAUAAGACCACAUA